AAAGAGAGAAGACGUCUCAGAAGGUUGCAGGGUGAAUAUAUUCUUCGGCUGCAGCCGAACCCCCCAGGGCGAAGGGGCCGGAGCCCGGGAGCGCGUGGGGUCGGGGCUGCGGGCUGGAGCUGGGCCCGCGUGUCCCCGGGCACCGGGAGGGAGGAGGGAGGGAGGGCGGGAAGGAGGGAAGGAGGCAGGGGGCGGGCUGGGGUGGGGGCGAGGGGAGGGCGCCCCGUGUGCUGCCUGAGGAGCAGCGGCGGCGGCGGCGGCGGCGGCGGCGGCGGGAGGGAGGGAAGGAGGGAGGCGAGCGGGCGCGCUUGUCAUGUUGCCUCGCUCACCCUGGGGGCAUCGUGCAGAACCUCUCCUCGGAAAUCCACGGGGAAAUGGCAAACAGGAUUGACGGGUUUCACACGCUCCUCGCUAGACAGAGCCGCUCAUUACCAUAACCGUCUGCAGCGACGGCGGCGCGGCGCCCCAGUCGCGGCGGCGGGACCUGCCGGGACCCUCGCCCGCCGCGUACCCGCGGCCGCCACCAGCACCAGCACCGGCACCCGCGCCUCCCUGGACCGGGCCGGGCCCCGCACGCGCGGAGUGUGCACCGGCGGCCGGGCUGGCGCCGAGCCCGGAGCGGGCCAGCAGCAGCUCGAGCGCCGCGGCCGCCGCCGCCUCCCGGCUGACCCCGCGGUAAGAGCCGGGCUGGGCGCGGGCGGCGGGCGGCGGGCGGCGGCCGGGGGCGGAGAGGCCGGGCCGGGUUGGAGGGCGACGGCCGGUCCCCUCCGGCGUCUGCGGUCGUGGACCGGCUCCCCCGCGCCCCCCGCCGGCCCGGCGAUCGCCGAGUGGGCGCGCACCGGCCGGAGCGGGACCCGGGCGGUCGGUGGAGGGGGUGGAGGGGUGGAAGAAGGGGAGAAGCCGGGGAGCCUCUGCGCGCGGAGGCGGCGCGGGCUUUUCUCCGCGGGGCUGGCGUGCGCCGCGGAGCCUGUACCCGGGCGGGAGCGGCCGCCGCCCGCGCGCGCACCGAGCCGACUCUAG
rnacentral:lncRNA from 1 species